rnacentral:rRNA from 1 species
AUUGAACGCUGGCGGCAUGCCUUACACAUGCAAGUCGAACGGCAGCACGGGAGCAAUCCUGGCGGCGAGUGGCGAACGGGUGAGUAAAGUAUCGGAACGUGCCCAGUCGUGGGGGAUAACGUAGCGAAAGUUACGCUAAUACCGCAUACGAUCUAUGGAUGAAAGCGGGGGAUCGCAAGACCUCGCGCGAUUGGAGCGGCCGAUAUCAGAUUAGGUAGUUGGUGGGGUAAAGGCUGACCAAGCCGACGAUCUGUAGCUGGUCUGAGAGGACGACCAGCCACACUGGGACUGAGACACGGCCCAGACUCCUACGGGAGGCAGCAGUGGGGAAUUUUGGACAAUGGGCGAAAGCCUGAUCCAGCCAUGCCGCGUGCAGGAUGAAGGCCUUCGGGUUGUAAACUGCUUUUGUACGGAACGAAAAGGUUUGGCCUAAUAAGCUGAGCUCAUGACGGUACCGUAAGAAUAAGCACCGGCUAACUACGUGCCAGCCGCCGCAGUAA